GUGAGUGGUGAGAUCAUCACAAAAUUGAACAGACUUAGUGGCCCACGGUGAUCAGGGUAAUGAGACGUACUAGAUUCAUGUCGUAGGUAAUCCCGUAGAGACUCACUCAAAGAUAAACUAAAACAUAAUGAUUUAAUUGUUUAUUUAUGCAACCAAGGAUUUUCAGGAGUAUACAUAUUUAUGAACUUAUUUGGAAACAAAUACAAAAUGUAAUUUUCGUUUUGCAGUUUACAAUACAAAAUGGUAAAUGCAUAGAAUUUAUGAUGGCGCUCAUUUAAACGUUAAAAGUAUUCGAUUGUGACAGCCUUCUUAUUGUACUCGGAAUGUAUCCCAUCGGAAAUGACCAUUUUUUCCAGAGCACUUUGCAGUUUUUCUUGGUCAAGACUCAUGAUUAAUUAUUAAUUAAAUGUCGAAGAAAAUAUGCACGAAUAAAGUCACAGCGACUGUUCGCAUCAAGUUCUGCAAAUCGAAAG
rnacentral:lncRNA from 1 species